GUGGGGAAUAUUGGGCAAUGGGCGCAAGCCUGACCCAGCAACGCCGCGUGAAGGAAGAAGGCUUUCGGGUUGUAAACUUCUUUUACCAGGGACGAAACAAAUGACGGUACCUGGUGAAUAAGCCACGGCUAACUACGUGCCAGCAGCCGCGGUAAUACGUAGGUGGCGAGCGUUAUCCGGAUUUAUUGGGUGUAAAGGGCGUGUAGGCGGGACAGCAAGUCAGAUGUGAAAACCAGAGGCUCAACCUCUGGCCUGCAUUUGAAACUGUUGUUCUUGAGUGUCGGAGAGGUAAUCGGAAUUCCGUGUGUAGCGGUGAAAUGCGUAGAUAUACGGAGGAACACCAGUGGCGAAGGCGGCCUGCUGGACAUUAACUGACGCUGAGGCGCGAAAGCGUGGGGAGCAAACAGGAUUAGAUACCCGUGUAGUCC
rnacentral:rRNA from 1 species